GACGAACGCUGGCGGCGUGCUUAACACAUGCAAGUCGAACGGUGAAGGGACCAGCUUGCUGGUUCUGGAUGAGUGGCGAACGGGUGAGUAACACGUGAGUAACCUGCCCCCUUCUUCUGGAUAACCGCAUGAAAGUGUGGCUAAUACGGGAUAUUCUGGGUCUGUCGCAUGGCGGGCCCGGGAAAGAUAUUGCUUCGGUGGGGGAUGGGCUCGCGGCCUAUCAGCUUGUUGGUGGGGUGAUGGCCUACCAAGGCGGUGACGGGUAGCCGGCCUGAGAGGGUGGACGGUGACACUGGGACUGAGACACGGCCCAGACUCCUACGGGAGGCAGCCGUGGGGAAGAUUGCACAAUGGGCGCAAGCAUGAUGCAGCGACGCCGCGUGAGGGAUGGAGGCCUUCGGGUUGUAAACCUCUUUCGCCAGUGAAGCAGGCCUGCUCCUUGUGGGUGGGUUGACGGUAGCUGGAUAAGAAGCGCCGGCUAACUACGUG
rnacentral:rRNA from 1 species